rnacentral:tRNA from 1 species
UGGCUCAGUGGAUAGAGCGUUGGUCUGUGGAGUGAAGGGUCCCGGGUUCGAUUCCCGG